rnacentral:rRNA from 1 species
GACGAACUGUGCAACCGUUAUUCGGAAUCACUGGGCUUAAAGGGUGCGUAGGCGGUCUUGUAAGUCGGGUGUGAAAGCCCCCGGCUCAACCGGGGAACUGCGUCCUAAACUGCGAGGCUAGAGUGAGGUAGGGGUGUGUGGAACUUCCAGUGGAGCGGUGAAAUGUGUUGAUAUUGGAAGGAACGCCGGUGGCGAAAGCGACACACUGGACCUUGUCUGACGCUGAGGCACGAAAGCCAGGGGAGCAGACGGG